AUAGCCAGACUUUUGUGAGUACAAGUCUAUGUGUGUGCGGGCGUGUGUGUAGAGGGGGGGAGGAUGUGGAAAUACAUCCGCUUGUUUAUUUAUGUAGAUGAACAGAAGGAAUGACAAUCAGGGAGGGAGAGGCAGACGGAGAGAGAGAAAGAAAGGUUUGGAAGAGAGUUGUAUUUGCAAACUGCUGGCUGACUUCCCACUGGAGCCAUGAGAGAUCAGACCGAGAGGCUGCGUGUCAGAAGAGAGAGAGAGUGCGUAUGUGUGUGUUCGCACAUCUGAGAGGAGAAACGCAGAGAGACAGACAGAGAGAGGGAGAAAGGGGAGGGAGGAAGGGAGAGGAACCCGUUCAACCCAUUUCAGCGGCAACUUUUCAGCCCGUCUUACAUGAGGUCUCUCCCUGAAUAUGGACACUUUUCGCUCCCGUCUCCUCAGCCAUCCCGUCGCCACGGUUCCCCGAUGCCGAACUUUGGCCACACUUUAGGCUGAAGCAACCUGAGUUUUCUCUGCAGUUUUGCAGGAGGUGAUGAUGGCAUUCACCAUGUAAAGCAACUCAAGCCUUUGCAUCAUCACCUCUCCUUGCGGUGUCAUUUGAGCCUUUGCAGCAACGAGGCUGGCAACACGUCCUGGCAUGGAACCGCUCCGCAUAUGCCAAGAGUGCAGUUCAAGAGUGCACAGGCAGACAAAAAGAGUGAUGCAGCUCACUAUCAGUGUGUGAAUGUGUGUAUGAAGUACUCUGGAGUUUUUGGACCUGAUAAAAGAGCAAUACCCUGCCGGCCAUUUACAAACAGGCAGGUAAAUCUUGUAGUUUCAAGUACUGAAAAACAAAGUGUCAAUAAAAAGUAAGAUAUGUGAUGCUUCUUUGAAAUCCAAGGGGGAGACAGCUCUACUCUGUGUGACUGGAGACGGCCUCUAGGGCGUCUCAUUUAAAGGAAUAUAACGCAAAGGAUAACAGAAGUCUAGAAUUUAACCAAAAGUGUAUUUUUUUAAAAUCAUGUUCACAACAGAAAGCAGCUCAAGUAUGUUGUGUAGCAUUAUAGAGAGUAAAAAAAAAGAAAUCAGUCAUCUUGUAUUAAUAGCCAAAAACCUCCCAGUACGGUUCACUUCAUCUAUUGACAUUAUACAAGUUGAUCAGAUGAGAGAGAGCAACCUGUGUUUUCAGAACAUGAAGCUGGGAUCAAAUGGGUGUGGCUUCAACUGACAGAUUUCACCUCAGCAAUAUGCGUUAGCCUUGGGAGAAAUGAAUCUAUUUUCCAAUACAUCAGGAUGUAGAUGAGAAUGAUUGUUGAAUGAAUAAAUGUCCAAGCUUAAUUAUUUAUUCAUUAUUGUAGUAAACUGACAUUACAGCAAGCUAAUGAACUCAUCUGAAUGCUGAAAACAGAUGUAUAUUGUCUCAUCUCACUUUAAUGUCAGAUUUUAUGACAAAAAUAUUGAGUAUAUAGACCUUGCCAGUGCUGUACUUAUCUCUCCUUACGGAUGAGCAAUGUUAGUUCCCAGGUAUAUCUCUUUUCCCAUGCCAAAAUAAAAUAAAAUUCCUUCUCUUUUCUGCAGCUGUUUAACACUUAAACAUGUCAGGAAAAGUAAAAGCUGAAAUCAAUCCAGUACAACAUCUGAACAAGAUGGGAAAAUAUUGCUAAAAAAAUCUUUCCAGACAGUAAAAAAAAGGCAGAAAAACUCAUUUGAUCAAAUCUUCUAUAACUGAUUUUCAUCAUCACAGUUCUGAUCUAGAAUUUCCCUAAGAACAGAAACUGAAGAUAUGGCCUUUACACAACUGUUGUACCAGUCAGAAUAUUAUAAAGGAACUCCUCCCACUCAGAGUGGUUACAGUAAAGACAAAGUUGCUGAACGAUUCCUCUCACGUGUUUUAUGUUAUGGUCCGGCAAAAGGUUUGAAUUUAAAUAAAAAAUUUUAAAAAACGUUAUUAAACAAAUUAGUUAUUAUUAAUUACACUAUAUUAUUAAAUAAGCACCUUAUGAAGCAAGUAAACACACCACAUGAAAAAGUCUGUCCUCCUGGAUUUUUAUUUUCUAUAGACAGAUGAUCAACGCGUUUAGAAUAUAGUAACAUUUAGGUAUGUAAAUUUAUAUAAUGCCUGAAAAUAUUUCCAUAGUUAAUGUGUUAAAAUGAAAAAUAAAUCAGAGUAAAAAACAAUGUUUGGAAGUGUGUGUGUUUAGUUUGAGCCUUCCUUCCAAAGCACAGUUUCACUUCAUGAGGCAGCACAUGUGGUAAUCUGCUAAGGCAAAUGUUUUGACAUUAAAACACUCAGAUUUAAUCGUUAAUCAAGUUGAAAAGCAGAAAGCGGCAACAAUUGUUGUACCAAAGACUUCAUGAAUAGUGGUCACUACAGUGGACAGCUAUCUAAAAGCCUUUUUCUUGUGGAUUUGUAUGUUAUAAAUGCACAUAGACCACUGAAGAGGACUCUAGUGCAUCAGGCAAUACACUGCCAACUACUGUCCAUCAACUGCAAGUGCAAGAAAUUUUUCAUUAAAUCCAACAUGGCGGACAGACGGAGCAGUAUCAGACUCAUGAACUCAGGAAUAUCCAGUCUCUCCUUCUAUUGUAGAAAAUUCUUGCAGGUAAAAAAAAAAAUAUGGUGACAUCAAGUAAUGUCACUAUUACUUGAAAUAAUAACUUUAUAUUUGGAGAAAAGUACAACUGAUCACCUGUCCACUAAAGUGGACGUCAUGCGCAUAUCCUAGAUCUUAUACCAGGCUCCUCUGUUUGCACUCAACCACUUAACCAGACAUUGAAGUGUCAGACAACUCAUGUGACUCUAUUGUCUUUCUCCCCAUCUCAUCAGAACAAUGUCUAUUUUGUCUGUACCACAGAAUGCUCAGUUGUGCACUCAUCUAAGUAAUGAAGGGUUUGUGCGCUACAUGCCUCCCAUUAUCUUCUAUAUACGACUACAGUCAAAGAUUUGCCGGGAGUAGUCUGAUCACAUGCUGCACUGGUGUUUUUAUUCACAAGAUGAUGGGGUUGGCAUUUUAAAACCACUUCUGACCACAGUGAUUACUUAUUUAAGUGCCAUAAAAUAAGGAAUAGUUUCCAGACGGAUGCAACUGUAGUAACUUGCCCUGAAAAACUUUGUUAACUAACUAAUGCAUAGAUGCAGACAGCUGGUAAAAGGUACGUACACGUCUUCCUUUCCUUUCAGCUUUUCCCUGUAGGGGUCACCACAGUGAGUCAUCUGUCUCCAUCUAGCCCUAUCUUCCACAUCUUCUUCCUUGAGGAAGACCAAAGAGCAGAUUUGUGCCUGGUAGUUCCACCCUCAGCAUUUGUCUACCACUAUACUCACUAUCCUUCCUCUGUACACGUCUGAACCAUCUCAGUCUGGCUUCUCUGACUGAGAUGGUCAUCAUGUCAGACUUCAACACAUCUGUCACAUUGAGGUACAUACACGAAUUAUGAACCUCAAUUCUAACAAAUUAGACUUCACCAGUUCUCAGUUAGAACCUACCUAUAUGUUCUGAACUCUCACUGUGCUUGUCCCUGAACCAUUUGAGUUUGUCAAGACUACACUUAGAAAAACUGAGUAGUGCUGUCAUACUUUUUCAGCAAAAAGAAGCAGUCUCCUCACAACGCAUCCAGACAAGACGUCCUAAGUUUUUUCAGUAUGUUCAUACACAUAUGCAGACAAAAAGUCUGUAGAUCUUUUUUCACCCUUUUCCUGAAAAAUGUAAGGUGUGUAAUCAGAAUAAAAUCCCUGGAAUACUGGAACCUACAGUUCCUGUAAAAUGUAUUUACCCCUUUGAAUGUUUUACCUUUUUAUUCACUCAAUAUUGAAUAUUUACAGCAUUUUUAUAAGGACUGAAGGUAAUAGUUAGUUGACUGUGCUUUAAAAUGACACUAUGUGCCUG